AACGUAGGAGGCGGACGUUAUCCGGAGUUACUGGGCGUAAAGGGCGUGUAGGCGGUUUGUUAAGUCUGGCGUGAAAGCUCUCGGCUAAACCGGGAGAGGUCGUUGGAUACUGGCGAGCUAGAGGAUGGUAGAGGCGUGUGGAAUUCCGGGUGUAGUGGUGAAAUGCGUAGAGAUCCGGAGGAACACCAGUGGCGAAGGCGACACGCUGGGCCAUACCUGACGCUAAAGCGCGACAGCAUGGGGAGCAAACGGG
rnacentral:rRNA from 1 species